UCCCUGGUGGCUCAGAGGGUAAAGCGUCUGCCUGCAAUGCAGGAGACCCAGGUUUGAUUCCUGGCUCAGGAA
rnacentral:tRNA from 1 species